rnacentral:rRNA from 1 species
CGCAAACUUUUUUUUCGAUAUGAACUCUAAAAAAAAAUUACGCUGUUAUCCCUAAGGUAAUUUAAUCUUAUAAUCAUAAAAUAUGGAUCACUUACUCAUAUAUCAAUGUUUUUAUAUAAAAAAAGUUAAUUUAAUUUUUUAGUUGCCCCAACCAAAUAUAUAUAUAUAUAUUCAAAUCUUUAAUACUUAAACUUUCAAAUAUAUAUACGAAUAUAAAAUUCUAUAGGGUCUUCUCGUCUUUUAAAAUUAUUUAAGCUUUUUUACUUAAAAAUAAAGUUCUAAUUGAAAUUAAAUUGAGACAGUCUUUCCCUCGUCAAACCUUUCAUACCAGUUCUCAAUUAAAAAACUAAUUAUUAUGCUACCUUUGCACGGUCAAAGUACCGCGGCCAUUUAAAAGAAAUUAUUCAUAGGGCAGGCCAGACUUUAUAUUAUUAUCAAAAAGCCAU